CGGGAUUUAUGGAUUCUGAAAUGACUAUGGUUUCUAACAGUUUCUCUUGGAGGAAAAGACCUCUGAAGAUGGUGCAAGGUUUCACUGUUUUAAUGUCCUUGGGACCCGUAAGUGAUGAUCCAAAUAGUCUUGAUUCACAAACAGAUCAUGGCAGGACUGAGUGCUUCGAAGUAGUAUUCCAGAACAUACUUAUCUGUGGUCAUGCUUUUAAUAUGGAAUAAUUUGCAAAUAAAAGACAAAGAAAAUGGCCGACAGAUGGAAAAAAGAAAUGCAGCAGGGAAGGCUCUCAAGCCUGACCCAACAAAAAUCAUUUACUUUGAAAAGUUG